AUUGAACGCUGGCGGCAGGCCUAACACAUGCAAUUCGGGCGGAGCGGCGGACGGGGGAGUAAUGUAUGGGGAUCUGCCUGAUGGAGGGGGAUAACUACUGGAAACGGUAGCUAAUACCGCAUACCAUCCGAUGAACCUACAUGGGAUUAGCUUGUUGGUAAGGUAACGGCUUACCAAGGCGACGAUCCUUAGCUGGUCUGAGAGGAUGAUGAGCCACACUGGGACUGAGACACGGCCCAGACUCCUACGGGAGGCAGCAGUGGGGAAUAUUGGACAAUGGGCGAAAGCCUGAUCCAGCCAUGCCGCGUGUGUGAAGAAGGUCUUCGGAUUGUAAAGCACUUUAAGUUGGGAGGCGUUACCAACAGAAUAAGCACCGGCUAACUUCGUGCCAGCAGCCGCGGUAAUUC
rnacentral:rRNA from 1 species